ACGCCGACUAAAGGAUCGCUAUCGCAGCACACAUACAGAGGUACUCUCUACCUUUUCUUCUGCUGUGGGGAAAGUCUCCGGAGGUUUGCAGAGGGUCAACACUUGCCUUCACCAUGCUUGGGAAAGCCUUCGUCUUCAAGCAUGACGAAUUAUGGGGCCGGUUUGCGGGGUCAGAUUUGUUCGCAACUGUUGUCUAAUGUCAUUAGACGUUGUUGGACUCCUGCCUGCACCCUCUGCACGUCGGUCCGGGUAUGUCUGGGAAUGGCAGGGCGAAGAUAUGAGCACUGUCGUUUUUAUUAACUAGACAGCCGUAAGAGGUCGACACUUGGUUGCUCAUGAACGUAGUUAUGCGGUCCCGAGACCCGCAAGGGCUUGGAACACAAUGGGGCUUACUCUUGGUCGGCG
rnacentral:RNase_MRP_RNA from 2 species